GAAAAAAAUCAUUUGCUUAAUUAUAAUUAUUAUUUGAUAAGGAACUGUUCUUAGGAGUAUGUCGUCUUAUGUCACCAUGGUCAGUGUGAAAUCAGUUAAUAUCAUUCUUGAAUUAAUGGGUGUUAAUAUUCCCAAAAGUAUUCAAUUGAUUUGUUCAAUGUUUUGUUUGUGUGUUCACAAAAGUAUUGGGGCUGUUAUUUUUAUGCCCCACCUACGAUAGUAGCGGGUCAUCAUGUUUUCUGGUCUGUGGAUCCCUUGUUCGUCCGUAUGUGCUAUCAUUUGUUCGUUCGUUCGUCUGUCCUGCUUCAGGUUAAAGUUUUUGGUUAAAGUAGUUUUUGAUAUAAGUUGAAGCCCAAUCAACUUGAAACUUAGUAUACAUGUUCCUUGUGAUAUGAUCUUUUUAAUUUAAAGCCAAAUUAGACUUUGAUCCCAAUUUCAUGGUCCACUGAACAUAGAAAAUGAAAGUGGAAGUUUCAGGUUAAAGUUUUUUGGGUCGAGGUAGUUUUGAUAAAGUUGAAGUCCAAUCAACUUGAAACUCAGAACACAUGUUGCCUAUUGUAUGAUCUUUCUAAUUUUAAUGCCAAAUUAGAUUUUUUACCCCAAUUUCACGGCCCAUUGGACAUGCAAAAUGAUAGUGCGAGUGGGGCAUCCGUGUACUUGGGACACAUUCUUGUUUCUCAUGUAUUAUUAUUUGUAUUUAAGCCUUAAAACUGUUCUGUUAUCUUCCUGUUUUGUACAAUAAAGUUAAUCACAGGGAGACAUUUUGUGAAGCAAUAAUUUAAAAUAUUUCAGUAUUAUAAUGAAAUCUGUGCUGUACUUCUUGUCAUUUUAAUGCUCUACGUUUAUGACAAAAGAUGUUCCAAUGCAUCAGAAUACAAUGGCUGUGUAACAUUGUGUAGUUAAUCAUUAACAUUAUCUCAUCAUAUAUUCAUCAAUAAAUACGUU
rnacentral:lncRNA from 1 species